UUCACUUGAAGUAGUAAGGCAGGUCCAAAACAUAGAGAAGGAAGUAGGCCCAAGUAACACCGGAGAUUCCUCCGAAGAAGAAUCCACCGGUGAACUUGGCCCAACCGUCCGCUGUUUGGAGCUGAUCGGGCUCCUUCUUGCGGCCGGUUAGGGUCAAAGAUGGCGCGGUCGACGGCUGCCCUUCAUUGAAGGAUGCAACUCCAUAGAUUGUGAGGCAAAUGCUUAGGAUCACAACAAGUCCGGCGGCGGCGAGGGAGCCGGCACCACCGGCAUAGGGAGUGUUCCUUAAAGGCCCGGCCUUUACAAAUGGGCCUACUAGGAGGAAGCCAUGGGCCAAGCCCACUUCAACUCCCCUUAAUAGUGGGUUAACUGCUGUUCUAUAUGCUGGGAGGUUGGAGAGGUACCAUGCAAUCAAUGGGCUUGAUGUGAUUGGGGUUUCAAGGCUUCCAAUGAAAGGGUCACCAUUAAUUGGUUGAAUCACUUGAUAUGUUGGCUGCAAUUGAAGUGCACAUUGCAAUAAUUAUCAAAACACCAAUGAUUAGUGGUUUAACAAUUAGUAUAAGACUGUCCUAAAAUUUUCUUAAAGAAAUACAUCAUUUGCAAUAUUAUCUAAGCUCAAAAGAGAAGAUAGAAUUAUGUAAUUUACUUUGAAUUUUUUCAUAUGCUUACAUCAUAAUUAUAACCCUAAACCCAUUUCUUGACCCUACUUACAAAAAUAUACUUUAAAAAUUGAAUGUGCAAUUCAUCUACAUGAUUGAAACACUUCAUGAGACAAUUAAUGAUAGAAAACACUAAACUAUAUAUAUGCAUAAGUAACACAUUAAUUUGAUAAACUAUAUAAUAGUAAGCAUAAAUAGCAUGGAAAAUGUACCUUCUCAGAUUGAAUGGCCUUAACAGAGAAGGUGAAAUGUCUUCUAGAAGGAGAGAACUUCAAUGGAGAAGAGCCAGCAAAGCCCUUAGGAGUGACAAGAGGCCUAGUGAAGCUUGACUUGAGCUGGCUAAC
rnacentral:lncRNA from 1 species